UUUUUUUUUUUUUUUUUUUUUGCACUACUGUAUUCAGCCCUGACUCUUUUACUUUUUUUUUUUUUUUUAAAUAUGGGUUAAACGCUUCCUUAUCCUCUAAUCAUUUCCACAAUAUAGGGCCAGGCGGUGUGCCAGCAGGUUUCAUGGAAAUGUAAGCACUACAAAGUUCUAAUCCAGCCAUAGGAGUAUUAAGAAAUGGCCAUCACUAAAUUAGGGACGAAUCUUUGAAACUUGUUCAAUCAUUUGCAAUUCUUGUGCAUUACUUCAGCUCUAGUUUAUAAGGUAAAACACAUUCUCCAUGUCGGUGAGGGAUUAACUUUCAUUUUGAUUAAAUUAGGCAAAUCAUAUAUUUUUUUCCAUUCCAUAAUAAUUCUCUAACACUCUACCUUCCUUCGCAUCAUAAAAUGCAAGGUAAAGUAUUAAAAGCUAUUCUUGAAGUACAAAUGCCACUUGUUUUAAAUUAAGAGCGAAAUAAGUCAUUUUAUAAUUUGGGAUCAGUUAGUCUGUAGUAAAUGUAUCACAUGAGAAAAAGGACAUUUAGGGCUUGUUCUCAACUGAUAUUGAUUUUAUAAAAGUUGAUUUUAUAAAUUUGAUUUUUGAAAAUCAAAUUCUUUAGAAUAACUCAUGUGUUCUCAUUUACUAUUAGAAAAGCCAUUUUAAUAAAUGCAUAGGUAUUCUCAAAAAAGAAAAAGAGUUAAAAAGCUGAUUUUGAUAGAAAGAUGACCUUGUUACCCUUAUGUGUUACAAAAAUACAUUUCUGUGCUAAUUAAAUAACUUUUUAAUUUAAUUAAUUAAUUUUCUUAUGAAGAUUAAAUGGCGGAUGCGAAAAUUAAAGUUUACAUAGAUGAAUCUGAAAGUGAGAUAAGAAUUGGAAGAAAAUAGAAAGUCUAUAAAAAGUUACCUAAUCUUUAGGUAAUUUAGUAAUUAUGUUAAAAUUUGAAGGGUAAUUUAGUCUAAAUGAAAAAGAAGGCCAAAAUCAAAAUACAAACGCAACUCAAAACCUGCUUCUGAUUUUCAACUUUUUUGGACCCAAAAAAUCUAAAAUCAAUUUUUUAAAAUCAAUUGAGAACACAAUAAAAUGGCCUUUUAUAUAAUAAUCUUGGUUCAAGGGAAAAAUAAAUAAAUCAUCCAACGACCAAGGAUACAAUAAAGAUACAUCAAAGUCAAGUUGACGUCUACAAGCUAGCGUAUUUAUGAUUUGAUUUUUAAAAGGCAAAGAAAAGAAAAAUCAAAAGGUGGGAGAUACAAAUGCAAAUAUAACAAGAGUUUGAAAACCGUAGAACUUAACUUUCUUUUACUUUUAUUUUUUACUUUAGGUCUUAACUUUCUUCAGCUGCCCUUUGUCUCAUAGAACACACAUCACAGACUGUCCAAAUACAUUGCAGAUUCAAAGUAUUUAUAUGUCGUCAUUGAUGUAUUCAGCUGUGAUAUCAGACAAUGCUAAAACAAUGAAACAAUUUUGGUGGAGUAUAGAAGAUUGCCAUUUUCAGUGACGUAGCCAAAUCAUGAUCAGAUCAAGAACAUGGUAUGGUGUUCAAUUUUCCCUUUUUUUUUUUUUUUUGGUUUUUUUGGCCCACUUCUUCUUAUUUAUUCCUUUUCUGUACCUAAUUUAGAGAAAAUAUGGAAGAAGAACAUUAUGGGGAUUAUAGGAAAACUACAAUCCUUUCUGAUGAGUUGCAUCUCCCCUUAGAUUAGAUGAAAAUCAUAAAUUCAUCACCGACAAAGUCCAAAAUAGCCACUUGGAAAAUUUGGCCGCUUUAAUCAUUAGCAAGCAAUGAAAUUUUUACAUUUGAGAUUACAGAUUGCGUCACUUCAUCUAAUCCAACAUUUGGGCAUGGUCAUUUAUGUCUAACUGAAUGAGUUACAAGCAAUAGAGACAAAACUAUCAUCCAUAAGGUCCCGCUUGGAGUUGCAAUGCGUUUACAAAAAAAAAAAAAAAAGCUUUUAAGUAUUGAAAGUAUUUAUAAGUUGUUUGAUAACUAAUUUUACGUUAUUUAAAUAGCCCAAUUUUUUGUAGUUUAAAAGCACUUGUAUCAUAACUGUUUUUUUAAAAGCUACCGCAGUUUUAGAUGGGACGUAAAUCUCUUUAAAUCUUUUUUUUUUGUUAGUGACCAUAUAAAUUGUAGGCUUCAUAUCACCACGGUUAAAAAUGUGUUUUUUUUUCUAUAAAAAUGUAAAAUUGUAUUAGAAAAUAGGCUACAAUUCAAGUUGGAUGGUUAGUUGAAAAUUUUUAUAGUAACCUAUCUCUUCUUUUGAUAUUUUAUUUUGCCUGAAUGUGAUUGAUGGCAUAGAAUAGAACACCCGUUCUCUUUCCACACGGACUACUGACAAAAACAGUAAACCUGUAGCUAUAUGUUGAGGACAACAUUUUUUAGAUUUAUAUUGGCUAAUAUAGAGGUUGGACAAACGGGCAUUUGGUCUAGUGGUAUGAUUCUCGCUUAGGGUGCGAGAGGUCCCGAGUUCAAUUCUCGGAAUGCCCCAACAUUUGUGCUAAUUUUUUUUUUGACAGGAAACUGCAUGAGUCAUGAAGCCACAUUACAGACCAGGUAAAGCAAAUGUCAUCAAAAUCUGAACAGUACUAGUAUUUAAGUGAACCAAAGGUGGAAUUUUCUCUUUAUAUUAUACAUCCCAACAACAUAGUACAUUUACAGUUGAUCUAGAGAAAAAUAACUACAACUCCCCUAGUAAUUUUAUUGGCAUGGGAAGGGGCCAGUUGAAUGGAACACUUAGUAAUUUGAUGAAGAACUUGUUAGAGGCCUAAGGUCCACAGCAUUUCAUGCCAUAUCUUCUUCCCACAAUCUUUAUUGUCAUUCUUCCCCAUGCUAGCUCCAAAUCUUCAAAAGGUCUUAGACAUAAUUCAUGCCCAAGAGUAGCAAAAUUUUCUCCACAAAUGGGGAAGCAUCCUCACUACGAGUAGAACGUAUACUACUACGCGAAAUCAAUGAUACAUCAAAACUUGCCAGACCCAAAAUUACCAUUGUUGCUUAAAGGACCAAAAGGACUUCCUGCAUCAUUACUUUUGGCCCCCGCAAGUGUUUUUGUUCCCUCUUCAAUGCCUUCAUGGAUUCCUUCCGCCUUGGAAGCAGGGGCUUGUUGCCCCCUAAAAACACCCCACAGAUAAUACUUCCCCUGAAAUCCUGUAAAAGGCAUUUGUUAAGACACUCAAUUCUAAGCAAGUCUAAAAUGCUAAAGUGUCUCAUCAAUUAAAGGAGAUGCAACUCACUCCAGUAACUAAGUGGCAGUUCAUUAGAGGCAAAAAUCAAGAGCUCUGCAUUUUUGACAAUUGCUUUCAUAGCAAGUUCUUGGUCCAUCAUCUCCUCAACCAAACAAUCAAAAAGCCCUUCAGACCUGCAGGUAAGAGCCUCAAAGUUCAAAAUGAGCCAAAUUUUGGACAAAUAAAGUGGGUUAGGGCAGGGCAAAGUACUGAAAGCAAUACCUUUUAUCCAAUGGAAAGAAAUAUAGUGCAAUAUUGUCAUCAGAUGGCUGUGAUUUUUGAAAACUCUUUGGCCAGCAAUCCAUUUUGGCAAGCAUUUCAAGUUCAAGCGCUGAUGGCAACAAGAUUGCCUCCUCAUAUACUUUCUCACAUGCUUUGCUAGAUAAAUGAGCUACUAAUCCAUCAUCAAAUUCUUGAUAAUCCUUGUUCAGUAUGACAAAAUUUCCCCUGCAAGUAAAUUAGGAAAGAAAGUCAACAUGGUCACUAAGCAUGUAUUUAUUUAAUUUUUUUAAGCAAACAUGUAUAACUUAGUUCACCAAUAACAUAUAAACCAAAUAAUCAUCAACCUCCAGAUUGGCUCAAUACGUGGCACUGCCUGUUCACGAUUGUCAACGGUUAAAUUAUUUUCUAAAUGACCUGAUGCUAAUUGAGAACCCUCCAAGCAUUCCCCAGCACCUUUUUGUGGCAAAUUAGCUGAUGAAAAUUUAACCUCCAUUCUCUCCUUUUUGAGCUUCUCGAGCGAAGACAGCUCAUGAUCAUCCACCUUGGCUGCUGGGCAAGAAGUCUCGUUCAUCUCUAAUUCUGUAGACAAUGGAGUAUUGGUAGCACUAGCAGCAUGCUGAUCUUGCUCAGUGUGCCCAUGCUGUGGUCCUCUUCUUUUUCUUUCUUCGCUGGUGAUGACCAUCUUUUGUCCUUCAAGACCUUUUAAAGUUGUAUUAUUCCUUCCCUCACGAGCACUGUUGCUUUUCUCUGCUAGCUCCAGCUCUGUGCUUUCUUCAACCAGAUGAAAUCUAUGGUCCACCCCGGCUACUGAGCAAAAGCCCACAUGCUCCUUGCAUUCUGCUGACAACGGAGAAUUGGAAGUCAAUUCAUCAUGUAGUGAAGAUAACUCAUGUUCUAUGUUGCUUCUCUCUGUCAGCUCCAGCUUUCUAUCUGUAUCACCAGUUUGAAGUCUAUGAUCUUCCACCUCGGCUAUUGAGCAACAGGCCUCUUUCUCCUUUAAAUCUGUUGACAAUGAACUGGUAGCCAAAACAGUAUCUUGAACUUGCUCAGAGGGGCUAACCCUAAGCUGCAGUAUUUUUCUUUUUCUGCCUUUACUGGCAACAACCAUCUCUUCUCCUUCAAUAUCUUUUGAGCUUGUAUCCAAGCCAUUGCUUUUCUCUGUUAGCUCUAGGUCUGUGCUUGCAUCAACCAGUUGAAAUCUAUGAUCUUUCACCUUGGUUGCUGAGCAAGAGCCCUCUUUCUUCUCCAACCCUGUUAAUAGUGGAGAGCUCAUAGCCAGUUCAACAUCUUCAAGUAGACUAGAGGGUCUACUUUCAAGUCUUUCAUCGUCUUCCUGUCCUAACAGUGCUACACUCUUUUUCUUCGGCCUCAGUCUUGGUCUUCUUCUUUCUCCUUCAACGACUGUCAACUGUCCAUCAACAUCUUUAAAGCCAGUAUGGACCCUUUCCUCAUCUUGAACAGGGUUAAAUUUCAUGGAAGGUAAUUCCUUUGACAAGUCAACCUCACAUAUAUCACAAACCCAAUGGACGAAUUCAUCGAGUUUUUCUGGUAACUUAUCUAGGCAAUAUCUGCAGAGGAAGCAAAUGGUAAAGCAAACGAAAAACAUUUAACUCUCAGACUGAUCCACCUCCAACACAAAAACCAAAAAUCAUGAAAAUCAAGCGUAUGGUUGUACAUUUUUAUAUUAAGAAGAAACGUGACUGUUAUCUUUAAUGAAAUUAAAUAGUCAGGCCAAAAAUCAUGAUAAGUAAUGUGCAGUAGUAGUGAAGCAAUUAUGUUUUGAAUUUUAAAGUAUGACAAUUCUGCUGCACUAUACUUGUUUGAUCAACUUCUCUGUUUUGCAGGGUGUUUGAAUGCAUAGAUGCACACAGCAGGUAAUGUCUCUGUGUUUGUUUUGGCGUACAAAAUUUUUUUUUUUUUGGGGUGUUGGGGGGGGGGGGGGGGUAUUUAUACCCAAAUAGGUGCAGAAAUCAUGGAAGACUAGAGGUACCAAUUCAACAUACCUGUGAAUAAAAUAUUUCUGACACUUCACACAUUCAUUCAAUGCACUAGAAAAUCCUUUGUCACCACAUUGCAGGCAAACUCUCACCUGCAACACCAAGCAAACAGAUUGUAGCAUCAUAUAGACAGCCAAAUAACAUGAGCUUAAGGCCAUUGGGCCUGCAAACACCAUCAAAUUUGAUAAAACAGCAAUUAUCCAAGAAUAUCUGUUGGAUAUCCAUUAUGCCACUAAGAAGAAAAUAUUUGGCAGGGGAUAACGCUUACCCUUUGAAGGAGGUCAGACAAGGGCACAAUUAGAGUAAACUCAGACAUACAAAAAGGUACAUAAUUCUUCCCCAAAACCAGACACCUUGAGCAAACAAAUGAAACUCGUUUUUGCAGAAGAAAGAUAAUUGUGAGAACUCUAUAGAUUAUUGCAACGCAAGAGUAUGAGCAAGCAUUCUAAACCAAAAGCUGUUCAAGCAUCUAAGGUGGCAUGUUCAUUCAGCAAAUGAUAUACUACAAAAGAAUGUUUGAGUGCCAUUCAGAACAUGAAUAUUAACUUAGAACUUCGAUAACAACUUGGUUUGAGUUCUCAUAAUUACCCACCAUAUGUGUCAACUACUAAGAAAUCAAAUUACUGAAAGAAGUAGAAAAAGGAAGUUUCAUCAACUUCUAUUGUUUCACAGUCAGGUCAGAAAAGACCAGCACAUAUAUGAAUGCCAAAAUAUUACAGCAUGCCACGGAAAAAGUUGGCAUAUAUCAUGAGUUCCUCAGCAAUGGAUGAUACCAGCAUUAAUUCUGAUCUUAGGUAGGUUAUCAACAAGAAGAAUGUUGCACUGUGCAGUAAACUUGUCAAAUCCUCAGAAUAUUGUUACUUCCCCAAAAAAUCUGCCAAAUAUGGCUGUGUGGAACUCGCGUACUAAAGUAUGCCCGUCGCGCCAUGUAGGCAUGACGGGAGGUCAAUAUUUAAAAAAAAUAAUAAAAAAAAAAGACAAAGGACCAUCGGCCCUACAUUGCGUGACGGCUGACACCUUUGAAAAAAAAUAUGGCCUGUUGCGCCAUGGGCCUGACACCUUUGGAAAAAAAAAAGGACCAUUUCUAUGUAGCCAUUCAUUGGAAGAUUCAUCAACGGCUACCUAGAAAUGGUCUUUUUUUUUUUUCCAAAGGUGUCAGGCCCGUUGCGCCAACAUAUUUUUUUCGAAAAGCUGUCAGCUGCGACGAAGCUGUCAGCCGUCACGCCACCAUGGCGCAACGGCCUGACAGAUUUUUAAAAAAAAAUUAAAACUGGGCCGUCACGCCAUGUAGGACCGAUGGCCCUGUCUUUUUUUUUUAAAAAAAAAUCUCGACCUCCCGUCACGCCAUGCAUACUUUAAUACACGAGUUCCACACAACCAUAUUGGGCAGAUUUUUUUUUGGAAGGACAAAUAUUCUGAGGAUUUGCCCAGUAAACUUGGUAAACAGAAUUAAGUAAAAAAGAACAAUAACGCCAUUAAAUAUGUCUGCUGAUGAAUCUACAACAUGUACAAGAAGUACUUUCACUUUGUAUGGAACAAACCAUUCCAUCUUCAGAAUUUGAAAAACACAGAGUAGACUAAACAUCAAAAGAAGAAGCCCUAGGAUCUGAUACAUCUCCAUAGUACAGUCAGGUCAGUCUUACCGAAUCACAACAUGAACUCCAAUAAACAAACCUAUCAGAUGAUCAGAAACAUGUUCUUUGAUUACCUUUUUAUCUUCUCAGCAUUACACCUUGUGAAAAGGGAAUGCCUUUCAUACUUUAGAAAGAAAGGACUCCUACAGCAUCAUAUCCAUUUUAUCAACAAACUAAAAUUAUUCAUCCGUCCUUAUCCUGAUGGUGCACGGAUAAUUAUGACCCUCUUCAGCAACUCUCCUCAAAACCAAAAACAACUCCACAGCGACACAUAUGCCAACCGCACUAUGUUCUCUAUAUUCAUUUUCCCUACUAAUCAUAUUGCCAUAGACACUUAUAAAUUUGCUCAUUAAAUAACCAAACAGAUAACGAAAAGGGACUGCAUAGUUACAAAAUUUCCCAGAUAAUUGGACCCCCAAUUCCAAAACUUUCCCGGGCCUCAAAUGGAAGAAAAAAAAAUGAAACUUUAGAAGUAAUUCCUUCCUACAAAAGGAUGAAUCCCGGAACCAAAUUAUCAAAUCAGCAUUCAAUGAACAGAAACUUAAAGAUUACUCCUUUAGAAAAAAAGGAUUAUUAUCUGCAUGCAACAAGAUAUACUACAUUUCAUGUUUGGACUAUGUCCAAUUACACGCAUCAAGUACAACAGAAAUUCGCUAAAAAAAAAUAUACACAUUCAACAAAAUAUGGAAGAAAAAACUACCAUGGUGGGAUAAUUUGAAGAGCCCGGGAAGAAACCAAUCAAAGCUAACGAAUUUCAGGAAAAUCCCAUCACAGACCUCAUUUCAACAGCCAAACUAGAAGAGCCCUAAUAGUGAAAUUCUGUUCUUUGAAAGAGUAAAACCUCAAGGCCCUCUUUGGAUUGGCAAAGAAUACUAGUAAAAAAGACAAUCAAAUCAGUGAAAAAUUUGUCAGGGCUUUUUCCUGCGACUGAUUAGUGACAAUUCAAGUAAGGCAUUAAUGGGAAAUGGGGAUUUUGAGGAGCACUAUUUUCUUUUUUUCCCCCACUUUCUUUUUCGAAUUUUUCAGCAACCCUGUAUAAAAUAUAAAUAGCGCCAACAGAAUAGAACAGAGGAGUGUAAAUUCCGGAGAGUACAGGUACUGAGCGGCAAGAAAAUGGAACUCAGGCUGGCGUUGGUGCUUCACGCGCUGGCUGCCCGGGUAAAUUUUUGAGGUUUUCGUUUCUAUUGAUGUUUUGGGGGUAUUUGGUUUGUUAAUUUUUGGAUUUUUAAUGAUUUUCAUGCUGUAAAUUUGAUAAUACUUGAUCAAAUUAACUAACAAAAGUUAAUAUAUAAACUCAAGAUUUGAUAACCCUGUAAACUUAAUAUAUGAAUGCUAACAAAAGUUAGAAAAAAUAAAGACAAGAAGCUCAAAUAGGAAAAUGUAUUACUCUUUAGGGAAAUCAGAAAUGUCAUUUGCAUUCCGUUUUUUGUUAUUUAUACUCUCACCAUUUGUUUUAUCACAUAGUCUAAUAAAUAAAAAUUUUAUGAUUAAAACGAUAAUAAAAGUGUGAUUAACAAAAUUGGAAGGACAAAUAACAUUUCCGUGUUCUUUAUUAUCUUUAUCUCAUCAGGUACAUCUCUUCAAUACUUACAAAUGAGGUUUCAAUGAUCUCUGUUAAUGGGGAAGUUUAUAUCCUUUGAAGUGUUAUGAAUUUAUUGAUGAAUCAUUAGUGGAGAUGAAUGUAUUAAUUAAUUUAUUUAGAGGGAUGAAUGUACAUCCGUAUUCCAUUAAUUUCAUAACAUAUACACUAAAUAGACUCAAAAAAAAAAAACCUUCUUGCUUUUAUCAUGCAUCUUCCUUUAAUUGAUAAAUUAAAGUGAAUUUUUCAAUUUAAAAAUGUUUAAAUAAAAAAUCUUCUAGCAUUGUUAUCAAAACAAUAAAAAAAAACACUUGCUUUUAUUAUUUCUUGUAUAAGAAAUUGCACAUAUAACUUUUAUCAUGUAUCCUACAUGAAUUAGCAACCAAAUGCAAAGGCAUGACUUCACUGUUGUAUCACAAAUUAUUACCAUUGAAAAUUCUCCUCUUGCUACAAAUAUUUCAAUUAUUUUGACUGGAGUGAAUUUCAAUCUCCCACUUACUUUCCAAUGAGAAAGAAAUGAUUUCACUGACAGUGUGUAUAAAAUUAAUUCUUAGAUGGUUUUCGUUUAUUAUACCUCAAUCAGAAAGCAAAAGUAAGGGAAUUUCUUUCCCAUUAGGAAGUAGUAAAUAAGUAGGAGAUUAAAAUUCAUUCUAUAAGAUGAACUCUUAACUUUUAAGUUUUAUCUACCUUAACAUCUUAAAUUUUCUGUAUUCCCUCUAACUGAAAAUGUAUCAAUCAUUUAUCUUUCACAGUUAACUGUGAUUAGAGUUCAAAUGCAGCAAAAUAUCUCUUGCCACAUUUUCUUGUUCCUUUAUCCAUUCUCUAUUCUGGUUUGGGCAUUGGCUUUUAUGGAUGGAAAGAACAAUUGCAAUGACAUUAUUCUUUCUAAGCUUUGGUCCAAAUUAUCUUACAGCUUUCCGUGAAGUAAAUUUUCACCUCAUCAUUAUAUCCAACAAAGAAGUGGCCACCAACCACCAAGUAAUAGUUUGAGGAUUAAUUUUACCGGUGCUGUUUUCAUCAAACACUUGAGUUUAUGGUGACAAUCAAGUGCAAUUAGGUUGAUAAGAUGCUUUACUUGUAAUCAUAUAUAUAAACAAGUGAUCACGGAUUCGAAUCAUCCAGACGUAAGUGGGAAUCACUAGUAAUCUUCCUUAUUAUGAAAAAGAUUCUAAAAUAAUAAUAAUAACCAAGUUUAUGAAGGUUGUCGUUCGCAUUAGUGAUGGAUUAUUCAUGGAUGCUCUUGCUAAAAAAAAAAACUAUGGGAAGAAGGCAUUCUACUUUCACACAAAACAGAAAGGGCAGUGAAAAUAAUCAAAUGUGAUUACCAGGAGGGGAAGGCCUAAAGCCUUACCUCAAUAAUUACAUAAAAGAUCAAGUCCUAAUGUGAGUGCAUCACACUUUAUCUAAUCUAAAACAACAUUAGCUAAUGCAAAGAAAAAGGCUUACCAUAGAAAUGAUUACAAGUUGAGAAGCAUCCUACAUUAGACAUAAUAUCCGCGGACUGACUACAUUGAAUGAUUAAACAAGAAACUAAUACCCUCUACCUUUCUAGCAGCUGAACCUAUGUUGAACAAGUGAAAGGUUUGCUUUUCCUGUCCAGACUAUUCCGAAGGGCUCUGAGAACCAUUCUCAACAGUCAACAUAAACAUCAACCAGGUUAUGAGAGAUUAAUUUUAGGCCUUCCAUAUGCUGGUCUGCAGCAUUUACUCUCGAAGCGCCACCAUCGUUCACUUGCAAAAGGGAGCUUGGAGAAGGAAACAGGAUGUAGACAGAACAUUUGGAGGACCAGGAUGAUGAAGCUUAGUCCCUAAACCUGCAGCAAGCAAUUCAUCUUCUAUGAACAAAAGCAAAGCCAGGAGAGGUUUUAUGUAGAAAGGGAACAACUUCUGCAAGGAAAGAAACCUUCAAAACUAUCAUUUUCAUCUCCAAAGUCGAGGCACUGACAAGUCUGACAUAUAUCCAGAGGACACGGAGCAACCGAGCAUAUACGAAAAUGCCAUCGUAAGGUGGUAAAUGAAGACCUUUUAAGUUAGCAACGGAAUUGACAAAAGCAGUAAGCUCAUUCAUGAAAUACUAAAUAGAUUAUCACUGCUCACUAGCACAACACACUAGUGAAUUAUAGAAGAAACAAGCAGCAAACAGCAACGGCUUUAGUUAAUGAAAGAGAAAAUCAACAGCAACCAGCAGAAGGAAAUAGCAGAGAAAAGCACCAGGAAAAUAAUUGAGGAUUGUGCUCAAGUCCGUAGCUCAAAAAAUUUCUAGCUUUGGUGAAUAGUAGAUUAUAGGCCAUUCAGAUUGUCUUUAAGUGGGUAACUAGCUAUUGCAUGGAAGAAGAGAGCGCCAUUUGAAUUUCUGUUUCUCCUCUUUAGAACCCUAAAAUGCAACACAAACAAGAGUAUGGGAACUAGGUGGUCACUAACUUGGUGCAAAAUACCCACAGCAUUCCAAUUUCAGAGGUCAAUCUUUUCUCCAUAACAAUGAAUAGAAUAGUUUGCCAUUUGUGAAAUGAUAGGAACCUGUAAAAUAAAGUAGAUAAGCCUUAGAACUUAAUACAUCAUAUUACAACUAGACCUCACCUCUGGACUUUCAUUCUUGCACUUAGAUGUCGUUUCGCAGUUAGAAGCCAAGACAGUGGGAACCAAGAAGGAUUCUCUCGUAGACACUUUUGAGCAAUCAUUUGAAAGUUUAAGCCAGGAAGAAGCACCAUUUAUCGACCUUGCAGCGCCAACUGUUCCCAAAGGGAGUCUAUCUCUCAUAUUUCUGUUCCGAAUCUCAGCAAACCAUUCAGCCAAUGGCAUCUCUUCGACACAUUCAUAGUUGCUAUCUGAUUUCUCCAGUCCCCUUGGGAUUAUGCAUUCUUUUGUUGAAUUUUCAGAAUUCUCCUCAUACACAGUCUUGCAACCUUCAUCCAUGGGGCCACUUUUAUCAGUGACCUCUUUCCUUUCUGUUGGAGAAUCUAUCACAUGCUGAGAUGCUUCAUCAUUGCAACUUGACUUACUAUUCCUGAAAUUGUAAAGAAGAAAAGUCCUGUUAUUGUUUUGAGACCCCCAUUAUAUUUCCCAAAACAAAGUGAGUACCAUUUAAACCACCUAUUACCUAAUGAACAAAAUUCAGAGAUGGGAGGCAAAUUAUGUUCUCAAAGUCAUUAGGAAGCUUAUAUAUAUCAGUCCAACCAAAAAUUUUUUACUUCAUGCACUUUGGUAACAGUUAAGAUGAGCAUAACAAUGUUAAACCCUAAUUUUCACUCUUCUCCUUUUUGUUCUUUAAUCAUGCCUAAUUUUGCAACUCUCCUCAGUUUCAAAAAAUGCCACAUAUUUAUAUAUGUAUAUUAGUCCCCUAAACCUAAGUACCUACGUAGCAUAUGAAACUCAAAUCUGCAACACUAAAAAGAAUGUCCUUGAGCAAGUCAUGGUUUAACAUAACUAUCUCAGUGUUCACCUGUGAAAACAAAUAAAUAAUCAAAACUGCUACCACUUAUAUUAUGAAAUCAAGAAUCCAUAACUUUAAGGGCAGAAACCAUAAAAAUGGAUCCGGAAGACAGAAAUAUAAUUGUCCCCACACUUUCUUUCACACCCAGGGUAUCAUUUAGUCCGAGUACAAAGAAAAAAAAUGAGGAAUACUCUUAACCAGGCAGUCCCAGCUAGACACUUGGGGUGGUUUUACCAACUCACCACCCACUAAAUUGAUCUAUGACCCCAAAGUAAGUGACAUGCUCUACAGCAAAAAUUCCCAGUACCAACAACCAAGUUAAUUCACUUCUAAGAGAUUGAAUUAUUCUUGUAAAUAUAAAGCAUCCAACAUAAGCAAGCACCCGGCUGCAAAAGAAUAGAGCAAAAGAAAGCAGAAGAUGACCUUAGAAAAGACAAAAUUUAAAGCGCCUAUUUUCUGCCUUUUCUUUAAUUCUUUUUUUUUUGGGUAGAACCGUAAAAUAUGCUACUCAGCUGAAGAGCCAAAAUCUAUUACCAAAUGAUGUCAACAGGAACACUAUUCUUUUCAUUUGGAGCUAAAAGUAGUUGGAUGUCUCACAACUUACUCAUGCACGACUUGACUUUCAACAGAGGAAAGCAGAGGACUAGAACUCCCUUUCUCACCAUGCUCCGGAAAGCUUGUCACCUGCAAUGACAAAAAGUAUUGGAACGUACUUGAGGUACUAAAUUCUAUGAGGUUUUAAACGUCAACAGAAAUUUUGUGAUUACUACAAGGGAAAGACAGUUGUGGAAAUAGUUCUCAGAUUUAAUGGAUCCUAACCAAGAUGACUCAGGGAACAUGGUAUAAAGAGCACAAGACAGUUUUACAAAGGCAAUCUCAUCCCACUCUGCCAGAACUUAGAUUCAUUGGCAGCAUACAGCUAUAAAUUACAGAACUUUUUCCAAUAGAUUCAUUGGCAACCCACAGCUAUAAAUUACAGAGCUUUUCCAAUUGUUUAUCCUUUCAAAUAUAUUCCAACCCAUGUGGUUUAGAGAACAAGCUUCUCAUAUUAGGCUCACAAGAUGGAUCAUGCAUAUACUAACAGCCUUUGUGUUAACAAGUCAAAUACCACAUAUAAAAAGUGUAUAUAUUUCAUCUCACAAAUUUAAUCAGUUAAAUGUACGGCAAGUAAGAAUUGUACCAAUAAAUGUGUGUGUGCCUCUGUGUGUGUGUGAGAGAGAGAGGAGAGAGAGAGAGUCAUUGUAGCACAGGUAAUUAAUGGAAAGAAACCAACAAAGAGCAUUUAGACAAUUUUUAAAAAAUCGAUUUACAAUGAUGCCAUAACAUGCAUAAGAAUUGGUUGAAAUUGCCCUUUAAGCAGUUUAUUUUUUAGUAUGCAAAAGACUGAUAAAUAGAAACUUGAUGCAUCAUCUCAUUUACACCGUUCUAUGUUCUCUCUCUUCCUCUAUUUCAAUCAUUUUCGUCUUCUCUAUCUCUUUUAGAAAAUACCUAAGGUAUACUCCAAAUCCCAAAUUGGCUGUUGUCACAAAUCAAUCCUGGUAAGAUUUCAUGCAGGAAAAACUUCAUCUCUGGCAUAAAAAGGUAGAAUAUCUGGAACUUUUAGUUCUAAAAAUCAAAGUCCAGGCUCACAAAAGAUUAUUAUUCAGUAAAACUAGUAUGUCAGAUUUUCAUGCAUGAUCACCAUCGAUAUCUAUCUAUACAAUAUAUAAAGUCAGAGGGAUAGCAGUUGGUGUAAACUUUUUUUUUUUUUUGGUCAUUUUUUGAACUUCCAAUUUUAUCCUUAUAGAAACUAAUUUCUACCUUAAUUAACUAAUUACAUUUUGCCAAAAUAACUACUCAUAACCACCCUAAGUAUUGUAAUUACCAAUUACUAUAACCUUAUAAAUCAAAGUUCUUUAAUAAAUUCAUAUAAAUUGUAUUUAUGUGAAAAACAAAAUUUAUAUAAUAUUAAUUCAUUUUAAUUAUUUUUAAAUUGAACACACAUUGACUGUGUCCCUAAAACUAGCUUUUUUAAAGUAUAUACAUUUAGAAAGUUAUAUAGAUCAGAUUACUCUGCAAAGUAUCAAAUCAGAUCAUAAAUAAAUAACAUAUCACAAGCUUAGCCCCUGUUUCUCAAAAUGAAAGUUUUAAUACUUAAAAAGCCGUGUUGAAUACUCAUCUCAAAGUUUUAAUUACGAAAAAAGGAUAAACUAGUAUACAUUAGUGUAGAAAAAGAGUAACACCUGUAUGCCAUUCCAACCUUCCACUCAGUUGGGCACAAUAUGACUUGCCAAUGCAAAAAAGACUACCAAAUAGUCAGGUAGUUUACAGAACCUAGAAUGAACGAAUAACUAAAGAGUUAAAGCUUAUUAAACAUAGCAAGAAUGCAGGUAGAUAGAUCCUUGUUUUCUUACACUUUCUGCAUAAAAAGAGUAUGAGUUAGUCUUUGGUUUAACUUAUCAGAUUCUACACACUCCAUGGGGCAGCCAUCUGGAUAAAUGGGAAACAAAAAGAAGGGAAGCUUACCCAUUUACUUAUCAGACAACACCAUCCAAUGUUUACGGCCAAAUGAAUGACAAAGAACAGUUAUGAAAGUUAAAAAGGGAAACCGAAUAUCCCUGCGCUGAUGAUAUCACAAUAACAAUUUAACUACAUAAAACUCAAAGGAAUAGAGAAGCAUACACGUGGAAAUUUAUUCAUUAUACCAGGCAACUUCCAAUCUUUGAUAUCAGUAACUCAAGCUUGAAGGAUCCAUAAAUCUUCUUCUUUCAAUGAGUCAAUAAACUUUCUAAAGCAUUUGCUCCCAUAAUCAGUACCAAUAUAAAACAACAUAUUAACAAGUAACUUGAUCUUAGAAGUUAAAACAGUACAAACUUCUAGAAUGUCAUAUAUUUACCUCCAUAAUAAGUGUUAAAAGGUAAAAUUAUACAAAUUACAAAUGAUUCCACACAAAAGGCAGCACAAGUCUAGCAAAAAAGACAUGUAUACUCCCUCAUGAUGGAUCUCAUGUCUGGUAAUUUGCCGAUACACCUAUGGUAUUUGGGACCUUGCACAGUAGGGGCACAAAGAUAGAUCCCCUAGAUAACAUCAGGGCAAUAACAUAGAUCCAAGAUCUAAAAGCUGGGCACUUACAAUCCAGGUCGACAACCAAAGUCAAUAGCGAAAUAAAAGUAGCAAUAGAAAUUUUCUACUUAACCAUUCUACAUAUGUUCAUCUCUUAUCCUUCCAGAUAUAAUACAACAUUGAAAAAUUGAACACGAAAAAAGUGUUGUGAAGCAAGAAGAUACAGAUUCACUUGCAAUGUUCCAAUUAUCUUUCCCAAGGCGCAAUUCUCUGGCUCAAUGUCAGUGUGAGUAAACUAUAUACCUUGUUGAGCUAGUUUUUUCUUCUCAGAGUGAAAAAGAAGAGCAUAUUAAAAAUUUGGAUGAUCACAACUAACUGGAAAGCAGUUUUUGAGCAACAUUUAGUUAUGGAAUCGUAAUCACAAGAAACAAGUCAUGCAUGCAUCCUUUGACUGCCUCUAUCCAGACAUUUCUAUCCCUAUUCAAGUAAAUGCCAUAAAAGAAGACAAUCAUAGAGUUGGAUGAUGAUUACAGAGUUCAAGAAAAAUCAAAAGAAUCCCAUUAGGAACAGCAGAAAUUAUAAAACUUGACAAAGAGGUGAAAUUUUUAUUCAGGGUUUGUUUGAAACAAUUAAAAAGGUACUUGUUGCUGAAUUUAAAGCUAAGAUUAUCAAACCAAACAGAACAUUUUGUUUCUACUUUUCAGAGAUCUAAUGAACAACAGCACAAAGAACAAGGCAGGAUGGCAACAGCAAAUAAGGCAAAGCAUAAUACAGGAAGCUAACUAUUUAAUUCUCCGUCAGUAUAUACUUCUUCCAAAAGAAAAAAAAUGUUCCUUUUCCUAGUAUGAAAUUAUUGAUUUACCAAAAGUUUUCACCAUUACCAUUUCUUCCUUGCCAGCAAAGCUGGGAACGCUUGCACUAUGAUAACUUGUUUCAGACGUCACUUUCGAAUCCUCAGCCUUGGCAAACUCUGCAUGGGAAGUGGUUAGAGUGGACUCUGGUAUCGACAUUGUCAACUCCAAAGAAGGUUCAGUAGAAGCCUCUUUUACUACGUUAUAGUUUGGGAGGUUGAGCUGUGCAGAAGGACCAUACAUUACUCUUGCGGCUUUAUCAUAUGCCAGGGCAGCUUCAAUUGCAGUACCAAAUGUACCCAACCAAAGUCUACUACCCUUUUUGGGUUCCCGUAUUUCAGCAACCCAUUUACCCCAUGUCCUCUGCCUGACACCUCUAUAAUUAUGACGAGAGUUCUCAGGACCUCCUUUACCUUUCAUACAUCCCUUUUUUGAUCCUCUCCCUGGAGCUUUACGCACCAGCUUACCAUUGAUAGAUUCAAUUUUAUCAAAGUACUCUUUCCACUUGUUAAGAGUCUCAGCCACAUGUUUUGAUGCAUCACUCCGGCGCUUGGAAUUCUUUCUUCCAAAAGGGCCCAGCGUCAAAGAAGUCUCAUCAGAAGCUGGUUUAAGUGGACUCAUUCUUUUUUAUCAUGACAAAGAAGAGUUCCACUAUAACUCACUGUGAAAAGUAAAAGGUGAGAUCUCAAAUUCUCUCAUUUUUGACAAGAUUAACAUGCAGAAACAAAUACACACACAUACAUAAAUAAAUAUACACAUACUAUACAUAAGAACAAAGCUUCGGCUGAUUACUUUGCAUAAUUCCAUGUAUCCAAAAAGAAGAUCUAUAAGAAAACUUUACAACUCCUCACAGGUCAUCAAACUGCUAUGCAUGGAAAAACCAUGGUCGAAUGGAAAUAAAACCUUCAAGUAAACUUGCCGCUGACUAAUAAUCACUAACACCAACUAUUUUCUGAUAAUUAUCAUCAAAUUUCCGAAACUAUUAGUUCAGGUUGUGAUCACCAAGCUUCUUAUCCCUUCAAACUAAAUAAAACAGUUAAUCGGUAAUUUGCAAGUUAGUUAGCUAAACAAACACGGCUACUAGUUUCUUUUAUACAAGUAUUCUCUCAAACAGUCCAAGAUGCGUUUAUUUCAGCACAAAUUCUCCAUAUCUAGUACCUCUUUUGAAUCCUUCCAAUUUCUUGUAAUCCAUCCCCUUACAAAGAUUUUCUUUCAAGGAGUACAUAUGUUUACCCACAGUUAAACCAAUUCUUCUUAUCCUUCCCCAUUCAUUAGAUUUUUUGGCCAAAUAUGAAAAAAAAAGUCUUUUCCAAUUGAUUAAGUAAAAAAAGGAAAAAACAAAAGUUGAAUCUGAAUAUCAAUACAUAAACAUUGAACUAACAAUUAUAAUUCCUAAUUGUGCUGAUAUCAAAGCAGAAUACUAAAGUAAGCACUACAACCAAAAUAAGCAGACCCCAGAAAUAAAGGAAACGAAAGAACAAAACCAAAUUAAUACUAGUCUCUCGUUUAAAUUCAAAGUUAACAAAAACCCAUCUCAUAAGCUGCAAGAAACAUAAAAUUAACGGCAUGCAAACAAAACCCACAACCCAGAAAUAAAUAUUUACACUUUAAUUAACUUGUUCUAUCAUAAGCAGUUAUACAAAACCGACAAGAGUUUGAGGGAAAAUAAUUAAAGCAUCCUUUUUUGCAUCAUGAAAACAAAAGAAUUCAUGCUGGGGUUUAACUGAAUUUACCUCUGAGAAUUAUUGCAUGAGAGCAAAAAUUCUAUUUUUUUCCCCCUUAGCAAAUUCUCUCUUUCCCUGUUUUGGUGUGUGUUUUUGGGGGAGAGAGAAUGUGUGUUUAUGUGUGUGAAUGUGACAAUUGUUUUCUUCGGUUAAAGUGGCUCUGGACGAGGGAAAUUUGCAGUUGUUAGUCCUUCUUGUUUUCGAUUAGUUUCGGUUUAGUCCCUCAUUUUCCUAGUUUGGCGCAUUCAGUCGUUCAAGUUUUGGAUAAUUAUUGAUAUAAUUUUUAAGGGGUGAGCGUCAAAUACUUAUUCUAAUAUGCGGAACAAUAAUUACUAACAAAUAAGUUAUGUUUGAUUUUUAAAAUUUUUUAUUCAUGAAUUUUGCACUAAUGAAAUAUUUUUUAGAAUAUUUUAUAGUACACAAAAAGUUUAAGUAGUUUUAUAAAUGACUACAGUGUUGAAAUUAGGACAUGAAUGAAGUUAUAAGCACAAUUGAAUCCAUAUUCGUAUAAAUCAAGUAUUCCAAUUAUUAUUGGAAAAAUUGAAAUAGAUUUGAUAAUAUUAAGCUUAAAAAUUGAGAACCUUUCACUCACUAACUGAAAGUACUUGAUGAUUUAAAAAAAAUUAUUUCUUUUAAUCCCUUAUUCUAAGUUAAUUUUAUCUAAUAGUUAGAGAUAAUUGAGCAAAUAUCACUACAUAUUAUGCCAUAAUUGAUUUACUCGCCAAAAUUUGAACCCAUGGACGAGAGAAUCCAACUUAAUCCAAGUGCAUAGCUAAACUUUUCAUGGAGUGACAAAUCAAUAUUGGAUUAAUCUAUUCAUAAUUUUUUUCUAAGUGAAAAUGCAAUAACUUGAACUACCCUUUGGAUACUAACAUUACUUUAGCUUUUUAUAUUUUAGCUAAGUACAUUUUACUCUUAUAUGUAUAUUGUAUUUAUCUCAUCUUUAGUUUCUCACAUUUAAAUUUUCGUAAAAAUUCUCUCAAAUGUUAUGUCGCUAGAUAUUUCAAUAUAUUCCUACAAAUAAAGCAAUCUUGUAAAAAUAAGGAACUAAUUGUGCUAAAAUUCAACUGCAAAGGUGCAAAAUUCUACACCACCAAAACAUAAGCAGCUACAAUUUUCUAACACUGACAUACAGGGGGCUAAAUCCGUUUAAAGUGAAAUAGAGAGGACAAAACAAAACUAACAGUAAAUAUAAGGGACCAUCAUGAAAAUUGGUCUUGGUCGACCCCACCUACUCAUCAGAAAGUCGGUGGAUAGCGGUGGUUUUUUUGGAGGGUAAAGCUCACUACUGUUUUAAGUUCGUCAUCUUCAAUGCACUAUUCCAACUUGCCAACUAUAUCACAUUUUCCUUGAAAAUAAAAAAAAAUAAAUAUGUCGCACAAAAAUUGUAUAAAUAUAGAAAAUAAAAGAGCACCACCAAUUCAUAAUCAUUUUUGAAUAUUACAAAGAGAAUUUUAUUCAUAAAUUCACUCUGCAAUAUUUUGCAUCAAAUUUUCCAUAAGUUUCAAUGAAUAUUGACUUAUAUUUUGUGUGGUAGGAAAAUUAAUACACGUGCAAAAUUUUUGUCUAACGAGCCUUCUUGAGAAAACAUAAACUAGCAUAUGAUACAUUUUAGAUGAGAAAUAUAAGCAUAGUGUUCAAAUAAAUAUUAAUCGCACCUCACUUUUUGUAAAUCACACUCUUAUCAUUUAUUUUAUUGUAUAUUUAAUACAUGAAAACCAUAUGAUAAAAAUAAUAUUGUGAAUGCGAUUAACAAAAAGUACAGUGCGAUUAACAUUUUUAAUAAUUUAUUAUGACUUAUAAAAAAUAGUUACAAAAAAUAGGGGAAUCUUGCGGAUUUGUAAAAAGUUGUGAAUAAUUCAUCGGUAUGUGAAAUAUAUACAAUUUCAAGGAUGAUAAUACCGAGGUGAUCAAUUGAUUAUGGCCACUUUAUGAGAGAGUCUAAACUUCAGUUGAUAUAGUUGCAAUCACAAUCUUUCUUUUUUUAAUGUAUACAUAAGUUGGGUAAUAAAAUUUUUCACAUAGAAAUGAUGUGACAUAAAGUGCCAUAUGCCUAUAUGGAUAAGGUGGGGUAAUUUAUCUAGCUACUCAUUAAUUUGAAGAAGGGAAACAAGAAAAUUACAAAAAUCAAAAGAAUCAAGUCUAGAGCCAAAACAUGAGAAAUGUCAUCAUUACACAUGGUCUUCAAUAUAUCCCUCCCAUGUAGUCUUGCUUCAAGGGCUUUGAUUAGUCUUGAUUUCACCAUACAUCUUCACAGGGCAUACAAAAAUGGCAUCCAAGAUCUGUCUUGAUGCCAAAACACAAGGCAGAGAGCAGCAAUGAAGAGAAAAAGGAACUAAAAUUGGACCUAUCAGAUUAUGACAAUGCUUCCAGCAGACUAUUGUAGCUGAUUGUUUCAAUAUCUUGCUCUUCUUUGCUUUGUUGGUUGACUAUGUAGGAUGCCUAAUAACGAACGGCAAACUAGUUGCAGAUUCAUUACAGCCACCUAUAUCCACAGCAUAUGGUAUUUCAUUUCUCCCCAUGUAUUAAACAACUUACUGACAUAAGAAGUUCAGGAACCAGACUGUUGAAAGUCUGACCAAAAGCCUAUUCAAGUGUUUGUGACAAAGUACGCAAAUUGACAUACUUGACUAAACUAGAAGAUGUCCAUUAGUAUCUAUGCAAAGAGAUUAAUUGUUGCAUCGUCCAGAGGAGAUAGAAAAUCACAAAGGUUCUAUUCAACAGGGAAGUGAAGGUAAGUGAGUAAUCUCAAAUGUACCAAACACAACAUAAACUAAAUUUUCUGACUUCAGAUUUGUAGUUUCCUCAGAUUUUCUGACUUCAGAUUUUACGCGUGAAAGUAGAAGCAAUGCGUAGAGCAUAUCUGCUUGCGAAAUAUCUGUACAUCUCUCUAGCAUUUGAAGGAAUGCUUUUGGCGCUAGUUCCUGCUGAAUUGAGUUCUAGGGGUGGACCAUGGUGUGUUGUCAUCUGCUUCUUCACCAAUGCUCAUUAUGUCUUCAAGUAUUCCCUCUGGAAGAACAGAUUGAAUCCUAACUGUUGGUUUCCUUGGUGGCAAAGAAGGGAUUGGAACUUCCCCUUGAAGCAUCCGUGCAGCUUCCCUCAUGGUAGGCCUCUUCUGAUGAUCAGGGUGCGUGCAGCAAAGUCCAACCAUGAGCAUCCUUCCCAUUACUUUCCUGUUAAAGCACCUCUUCAGUUUAGGAUCAGCAGCCUCAAUUAAUUUUCCUUUCCCCCACAAUUCCCAAACCCAAUCAGUAAUCACAAUUCUGUUGUCAUCGACAGGCCUCCUACCUGAUGCGACUUCCAGUACCACGACACCAAAGCUGUAAACAUCAGUUUUCACUGUUGGAACUCCAGAAAAGACAUACUCGGGAGCAAGAUAUCCCAUUGUUCCAGCUGGUACAGUAGCAUCUCGUAUUUCGAGACUACGUUGAUACACUGCUGCUAAACCAAAAUCUCCAAGCUUGGCAUUGAACUCAGCAUCAAGCAUUAUAUUACAGGCCUUAACAUCCCUGUGGAUUAUCUGAUUAAUGCACUCUUCAUGCAGAUAUACCAGAGCAGAGGCCACACCAAGUACUAUGUUUGAUCUUCGCUCCCAUGUCAGGAACUUUGUAACACUGCUCCGGCCAUGUAGGAUCUUAUCCAGACUUCCAUUAGGCAUGUACUCAUAAACCAGGACUAACUCAUUCCUCUCACAGCACCAUCCCUUGAGCUGAACUAAGUUCUUGUGUCUCAAGCAGCCAAUCAUUGUAGCAAAUUCAUUGUCAAAAGGAAUACGCCAGGCCUCAUCAAAUGAAUUGUGUGAAGGGCCUAUGCUUUUCCCACGAGUAAAUCUCUUAAUUGCUACAUUUCCACAGGAAGGAAUUUCUCCUUCAUAUACAACUGCUGAGGCACCUUCACCAAUAAUUCUGUCCUCUUUGAACCCCUUUGUAGCUUCCUUUAUCUCACUCAGUGACAAGUAUUUUGGUACUUUAUAGCUCUGAAAUCUGCCAAUAUGAUAUUCAAUGUGCCGCUCUCUCUUAGCUUUGCUUCUAUUCCUCUUUAUGCAACAUAAAAUAACAAACAGAGCAACUGCAACUAGAAUCACUGUGAUUACAGCAGAACCUCCUAUGACAAGAAUCAAUCCAAAUUUCCAUUUUCUUGAAUGAUCAAAAUUGAGGUCAAGAUCCCCUGGAAAGCACGCCAGACAAUCCCCUUCUUCAACUGUAUCCAUAGACAAUGUUGAAGAUCGAAACCAGAAAGUCUUAAAUCGCCAACGACUAAUACUGUGAAUAGCUGAUCCUCCACCAUUAGAAGCAGUAAAUCCCACAUGCAUAAAUUCUUUAAAAUCGCCAGUAAAAUCAGCCUGAGCAACAAGAAUAGGACUAAGUGGCCUAACCUGAGAAUAUCCCACCCAAACCCUGAUCAUCUUCUCCGAAUUUCGAUACUCAAUCCAAGCAGUCAUCUCCUUUCCAGCUUUAAGAUCAAUCCCUCUUGAGACGACGUCAACAGAAGCCAAAGAUUUAAUUUGUCUCACAUCAAUGCCAACAUGGUUCCCAUUUAUAUCAUCAAAAAAGGGAUUAUAACUCGUGUCAAAUUCUACAGCAAUGAAUGAAUCUUGAGUGUUGGAAACUUCUUCCGGGAGGCCCAUCCAACCGUCGGUAAUGCUUAAAGAAUCCAUAUUGGAAGUGACCAGAAAUGCAAGUCCAUCUCCAAAAGGGCAAGAAGGGGUGGGGGAAAUGUUGAAUGAAAAGCUGCAAGAGAAUGAAGCAGCAGUGCCUUUGGAUGAAGAAUCAAGAAACCGAAUUGGGUUGAUGUAAAAGGCUCGGCCAAUGCCUGAAAGAGAGGUGGAAGAAGCUGAUUCUAGGGUGGAUUGUGAUGGCGAAGUGCAUUGGUGAUCUUGAGUUAGUCUGAUUGAAUCGUUCUCAACGGAUGCAUCACCAAAAAGGGUGACAUUGUUUGCAGGAAAAUAAAGUGGAGCUGAGGAAGAGAAAGAUGAUGAAGUGUAGACAUAGAGAAAAAGAAGAUAAGCCCAGAUGAGUAUGGUUGAAGAUGAACGCAUUCUGGGAAUUUGGAGCUCAAGAUUCAAACUUUGAUCAAGAAAUGGAAAGUUGAGAGUUCUUGGAGGAAGUUUUCUCAAGGAUUUUCAUGGGUUGAUUUUGAUCUUGGGAGCUCAUGAGAAAUGACAGAUUGGGUGAUUUUUCUCCAAUUUACAACCAGGGAUUUUGGAGAACGUUGCCAAGAAUCAAGAAAGUGAAAAACCCCGUUGAUAACUGCAGAAAAAACGAAGAAAAAUGAGGUGGGGAGAAGGGGUUGAAUCUUGCAAAUUGAAAUGUGGAGUGGAAAAAUAUGGCGGGGAAAUCAGUUGCAGACUUUGGAGUAACCGGGAUAUUAGGGAGCGCACAGAUUUGGUGUCAGAGGGACUUGGGCUUGUAUUGUGGGCUUUUUCUGUUUCGUUUUUCUUUUUUCGUUUUUGUGGAUCUGCCUGGUUUCACCUACUAGUAGCAACCUUCUAUUGCUAUUAACAGGCCUCAUUUUUCUGGGUUAAGAAAAAAAAUUUCCAUUUUUUAUUUGUUUUAGGGGGUGCUUCGUUAGUGCUGUCUAUUUUUUUUUUAAGGUAAAAAAAAAAAAAGUUAGUAGGUUUGACUCCAAUCACCAGUAAUAAAAAGAGUUUUCUACUUAAAUUGGACUUUACUUUUUUAUUGAAAUUUAUAAUCGGAAUAUGCUUCUGGAACUAUAGGUCACCUAUGGAGAUUCUUAAAAAUCGCCUAUCAAUACAGCUCUCACUUUUUGUAAAGAAGUAACCCGUCCUUACCAAUUGAGUCAACUUAUGUUGGCAAUAACGAAAGAUUAAUUCAAUUAAAAUCUGAAAGAAUCGUAUGCUUCGUUUAGACAUUUUCUUAGGUAAACGUAACAGGUUUGCUCAGCACCAAGAAGGUUUCCCCUUCAAUGGAUUUGCUGUUUUUUUGCAGUAAUAACCACAUGAAAAGCAAUAAAAGGAACCCCUUUCAAUAGUUCUCUCAGCGAAUGAGCAAUGAUGAAACAAGCCACGUACAAAACUACAGACAUAGAAUUUACCCUGUUCAGGGGUGAUUCUCUGGUUCUGUGCAGGAUGCACAACUUCAUGCUUACUAAGUACGUCAAGAAGUAGGCAGUAGGUGUAAGCAGAAACCAGAUUGCUUGAAGGAAAUCCAAUCCAAGGACAAGAUUAUUACAGAUUUUUCCAUACAUAAAGGAUGCGAGGACGAACACAUUUUUUUUCCCUGAUAGAAGACAUAAUCAUUAACUCAAGAACAAUUAGAAUUCCGUCUUCCUGUCUCUCUAGUAGGCGUUCAGUUUGUACGAGCUGCUGUAAAUUAAGGGUCAUAUGGGGAAUUGUGAUGGAUACAACAAAUUGUUUGAAAUGCUUAUGACAAACAAAAGCUUAGUUUAAGAACAUUUUCAGGUGUCAAAAGACUUUCAGAGGAACUUCAUCAUCAUCCAAGAAAAGCAACCAAAUGAAUCCAAGAACUUCAGCAUUUGAGUUCAACAGAGGUAGCUGGAGUUUUAUAUUGGAGGAAACAACUGGGAUAACAAGAAUUUGUAUCAAACUGCAACUCAGCCAAGUCCCAUCUUGAGGCAGCCACUUAAGAUUGCUACAGUGGGUAGCUCCACCUCAAUUUUUGUCUCUACCACCACAUCACACAUGUUGCCCUUCUUGCUGUUGAUCCGUCAAAUGUUACACUGCCUAUGACUAACAACUCAUCAAAAAAUGAAAAACGUGCAGAUGUGUCGAAUUACUGCAAUAUCAUUACAGGGGUAUAAGACCAUUUUGAUAGGUGCAGACCAAAAAAUGCCAAGCAUGAAGAUUAUGAAGUACCAUCAAAACCGCAAUUGUAACAUAAAAUGCAGAAAUAAUGAUGAAAAGCAUUAACAUCAGAAGAUCUUAAACAAGAUUACAGGCAAAAGUUUAGAGCGUGUGGAAAAGUGCAUUUAUUAUUGGAAACUGUUUCACCAAGAUACUCUCCAUGACCAAGCUGAGACAUAAGAUAUAAUAAGAACACAGCCAUUUAAGUGCUUCUUGAAGAUGUUCAAAUAUAAGAUGGACUGUAAUUGAUUGAGCAACCUUGAACCAAAAACACACAUGGGUCCAAUCAGAUGCUAGACAAAUUAAUAGUUCUGUAUGGUCACCCCCAUACUUUCCAUGCAACCCACAUUCUUGUAAACCAUGAGACUUUUAUAGUGAGCCAUUAUCCAUCACUCUCCACUUUGUUUCCUCCAAGCAAUACAAAUAUUCCUCUCUUUUUUCAACAGAGGAAUCUCACCCUUCUACAGGGGUCUCACAUGGCAGAACAAUCUCACAAAUAAACCUACUGGGCUUAAAAAGACAGCUUGGCACAACAACCUUGCUCAAUUCUAUUGAUUGUUCACUUAUCUGUUUUAAAAGGCUUUCAUGGUCAGCUCAUUCAUGUUCUCAGUUCCCACUAUUAAUCAUAUUCAUGCUCAGCCCUUUGAUUUGUUUAUAACAACCUUAGCAUGAUAAGGUUCAUGAACCUGAAUAAGUCAAAUUCGAGCUCAUAAUUGUUUCAAACUCAUACUGUAUGUUCUAAAAUGCAAUUUGAGAAAAUAAAAACAACAGAAUCAAGUUCAACUUUUGAAAAUAUGCACACUUUCCAGGCAUUAAUCAUCAUAAUAAAUAAAAAUAAGAAAAUAAGUAAGAUUAACCAACUUUAAUUUUUUUCACUUAAAUUAACUCACAAAGACUACAAUGCUCAGAAAAACUCUUUAGCUCAAUUUUUUGCCAGUUAACAAUUCUCAAUGCAGUUGAAUCUAUAGGCAAUGGGCAUAAAUAUCUCUUCAUUAUUGGCUCAGUUCAAAAGAAAAGUGUGAAAGCUCCAACACCCCGGGCAAUGUCAGAAUAAUAGUACAGACAUUGGACCUUUUAUAGGUCAAAGCAGUCAUAACAUGAUUAAGAGAUAAAACUGAUGCAGGAUGUUACAAUCUCCUUGUUGUUGCUGAUUCAAGUUCACUCACAUCAUUACAGAAUCUGACUCCGAGUAAGUUGUUGAUAUAUUGCUUAGUAACCAUACUGAUUGACAUUUACUUUCUUUAAUUGCUCCUCAUUGCAGACCUUUAAUCCAGCAGAUAACCCAAGUCAAGCUUAAGCAUGUUUACAUGGAAUCAAACAGAAUGGUGGAUUGGUUAGCUAAUAUGGGAGUGGCAUAGGAAUUGGAUUUUUUUUUUCCUUUUUUCUUGUAUUCCUCAACCUGUAGUUAACACAUUUUGUAUAGAUGGAGCACAAUGAGAUAAAUUUCCUUGAAUGAUUGUAACUGACCUUUGGUUUUUCAAUUAAUGAACUUCUUUUACCCACCAAAAACAAUAAAAGACCGCCUAACACUACUUUUCGUCUUAGCUUUUGGCCUUCCUGAGCCUUGCAUAUCACCAUAACCUGCUCAAGGCAAAAGCGCAGUGACAAAGUGACAAGGAAUUUUCAGAUCUUAAAGUGAAGCAAAAUCAUAAACUCAAUAGUUCCUACAAAUGGCCAGUCUAAGUAAGUUUCUACAAAUGCAUCUUCUGUCAUUGAUCUGACCUGCUGACAGAAUAGGGUUUCGAUUAGUUCCUAUAAUCAGACACCAAAUUAGAUGGACUCAUACUACAGUUUAACUGACAACUUGCUCCCUUGCUACUGACGAAGGUUUACUUAUGCCCCAAAUACUAACAAACCAAAAUUUUACACAGAAAGAAGAAUAGUAUAGAAAUCACUAGGUACAUAAACAGAAGUUCUAUUAGAGCAGAAGGACUUUAUAAGGUUUGAUUCAGGUAUUCUUUGUAAAGUAUAAAAUUUUCGACUAGAUAUAAUGAUCUGUAGACUACAUGAGAUUCAAAAAAAUACAAAGAAACAGAUACCAUAAAGCAGCAUCUCUGAAGAGGUCAAGCGUUCUUAAAAAAUCAAGCAUAAGCAGUUAAGAACCAGAAGAAAGGAUGCGUAAAUUAAUAUAAUUGGAAAUGAAAAGGAGGAAUUACCCAGAUGCACUUGCAAAGCACCUCGUUGCCACUUUAUUCACUCUGAUUGACCGUGGAUGAAGAAUCAAGAGCCAUGUUCUGAAGCUCCUUCUGCUUCAAAUACUGAUGCAAAAUUGUGAGCCUAGCUGUCUCAAAGGCAAAGUAACCAAUUGCAGAAAAACAGGCACUAUGAACAACUCUAGGCCCCAUUCCUCGUGUAAACCCUAUCCAGCCUUCUUCCUUCAAAAUCUGUUUAACAGUAGCUGAGACACCACUAUACAUUACAGCUGCAACCUUAUUCACAGCCUCCCCAUGAACCUGAGUCAUCAAUCUUGUCUUAACCACAUCCAAAGGAGUUGUCAGUGAAGCUGAUAUGGCUCCAGCCAAUGCACCACAACAGACACUCUGAAAUGGCUCCAAAUGAACCUGAUGAGUACUAUUCAAUACCGCAGCUUUAAGAUACUCAAACGAUGAAUAAUUCAACACCCCAGCAGGCAAAUUUCUCAGCAAUGUAGCACUAUAUCCAGCAUACAAUCCCAAAAUUCCAUCUUUUUUCAAAAUUUUCAAUAAAACCUCCCAAGACCUCCCCUUUGCACCAGUUUGCAUCCUCUGAGUAAUUAAUUCCUUAGGUACCAUUAUAGCUGAUGAAACAAUAUUCCCCAUAGCCCCAGCAGUAGGGGGUAUCAAAACAGCUGGAUAUUGAGGGAUUUUCGACAAAACUGACUUUCCAAACUCACAUGUCCCAAAAUACACAGCAGAAGAAGCCGUAGAACCAACAAUCACCGCAGAAACUCCACUAUAGAACCCCAAAAUUCCCCUGGUUUUGAAGGUCUUAACAAUGGCAUCAACUGUACCACUAUAAAUUUCUGAUGCCCCCUUUGUCUGGAGCUUAGUCUUGAUUGUGUCAAGAGGAUGGAGGCAGACAUAAGUGAAUGCACCAGCAAUGCCUCCACCAGCAGCACCCAUGAGGGCUUUUUCCAAAACAGAGAGAUUCUUGAACAGGGCGUAGACUUGGGGAGAGCCUCUUGAGGCUGGUUUUAGCCAAAUUCGAGAAGUGGGGUUUUCUGGGUUUUUGAUUUCAGGUUGAAUGGAGAUUGAAGUCGAUGAAAAUUGAAGAAUCCUUUUUGGGCUGAAAUUUUGACCAUUUUUUAUUUUCUCUGCUUUACAUGGGGUAUUUGUGAGGCGACGGAGGGAUGAGGUGCUGGUGGAUAAGAGGGUGGUGUUAAGAUUGUUGAAGAGGGUAUUGAAAUCUUGGAAAGUUGAUGAAGUUUGUGAAUUUGAUGAGAGAAAGCUAAGGGGUUUGCUGGUGCUAAUUUCCAUUUGUGGGGAUUGGUUGCUACCAGAGUUGUUUCAUUCAGGUCAUAAUGCGGUGAUGGAGAAUACUCGGGAGGCGUUUGGAUACUGUGUCAGAAAGCCAGGUGUAGAACCAGCCAAGUAGGUACCAGGUAAAGCAAUCUUGAAGCAUCUCUUCCAAUCACUCAAUUUAGAAAAUUUUAGAAUAAAAUCCAAAAACCAUCUUUACACGAGACAUAAUCUAUGGAUGUGUUUAUUUUGUUGAAUUGAGGACAACAUAGUAACAAGGAAAAGCAACAUAGAGAUUAGAAUGAGUUUGGCCAAGAAAUUAGGCUAAAGGCAGUUUAUUAUGGUGUGAAAUGCAGUAAUUGAUAUGUUAAUGUGAUUUCAUUAAAAGAGAAAUAUAUGCAAAACUUUUGUAUCGCAUUCUUGGAUGAAGAGGAAAAAAUCCUUCUUUGUUCUGCACUGCACAUUUUUUCAAUGUAUAAAAAGAAAAUUGCUGAUGUUUGUUAAGAUUUUUGUGUGAAUUUGCUAACCUAUAUGAUGUAAAACACUAAAAAAUCUAGAAGCCCUAAACCAUCACUGUUGUCCACUUUUUGCCCGUGAUCUAAAUUUUAUCUCCGACUGAAUUUUGAACAAGUAAAAGUGCAUAAUUUAAGAACUUCUGGCCAUUUUAGACGCAAGUCCAUCUGGAAUUGAAAGGCAUUUUUGUCCAUCCGUAAUCAAAAGCAUUGGGAGCAAAAUUACAAGAACAUAAUCAUCUCUUUCUCUUAGAGAACCAACGAUUUUUCAGGGAUUUGUGGACAAAUUGAUGGUGAGAUUAAAAAAAUUGAAGGGUUUUCUUUUUUUAUUAUGAUUGACAAAAAUGUCCUUCGAUUCCAUGUGAACUUAUAUCUAAAAUGGUUAGAAGUUCUUAAACUAGAAACCUUUGAUUGUUCAAGAAUCAAUCAGAGACAAAAUUUAGAUCAUGGAUCAAAAGUCAACGAUGUGAUAGUUUAGAGGCUCCCCAGUUUUUUUUUUUUAACUACUCAAACAUUGCUAAAUUUGAGCAAUAAGUCGAUGCUAGGAGCCAAGGCGCUGAAAUGGAAUUGUAGUUUGUUAAUCAUAGUUCUCAUCUUUCCUGCCUCUCUAAACUCUCAAUCGGUUAAUUGACCAACAGACAUAAUAAGGCUUAGUGAUUGCUCAGGAGUUUCCCUUUUAAGAAAACAAAAAUGGAGAAAAAAAAUGAUAUGUGUGUUUUGUGUAUAGUUUCUCUAAAACUGAUAAUCCAAUUGAAGAAGAUUUUUUCUUUUCAUAGCUUGAAUUUUUGCUCAAUCAACAUAGAAGGCGGAGGAAGUUGCUCCGGUAGACAUCUGGUGCUUUACUAAUAAUCCUUUCUACUUAAUAAGAAUUUCUUAUCAUAAUCACCCUCCUGAUUAAGUUCUACAUGUUUCAGCAUUUUCUACUCUCAGUUUAUUGGAUGCCUUGUAAAUUUCUUCUAGAGUUCAUUUUUGUCUCUGUUUUUCGUUUGAAAUUCCCCAAUUGGAUCACAUUGUUGCCUGUUCAGAAGGAAGACUUAGCCCAAUCUUGUCACGUCCAAUAACAAAAUCAGCUUCAUUCUUGUUCUUUUUGUACAUAAACAAAGAGGCCCAAUCUAGUAUUUCUACCAACUAGAUAAGAGAACAAUUGGAGUUCUCAAUUGAAUGCCAAGUGUCACUAUAUUGUUAGAGAAAGGAGUUUUUUUCCUGGUUUUUUCUACCAAAAAGUGAGAAAUGUCUAUUUCAGGCAUGGUCUUCAAAUUCAAUGUCUUAAUAGUUCCUUACUAUUUAGGGGCUAAUUGGUAACAAUGGUUUAGUUAUUUGCAUUUGUUCCUUUUGUUUGGUUUUUAAUUGAUGUGAAAGGUCAAUUGAAUGCUUUUAUGAAAACUAACUCAUUAAAUAGUUGCUAACUAUUUAGGGUUAUUUUUGUAUUUUUGAAAAUAUUUCUUUUAUAAUUUUCUGAUCAAGUGCAAAUAAUUGUAAACUAUUUGUGGGCCCUUUUAUCACAUGGGCUGUUUUGAAUUAGAUUAUAUGAUUCAUUAUAUAAUUAAUAUAAAUUAAUGGAGUUAUGCCCGUUAGAAGUAAUGUGCUUAGCCGUUAGUAUAUGACUGAUGACUGAUGUUGAAGUUAGUCAACAGCGAGAACAAUUGGAGUUCUCAAUUGAAUGCCAAGUGUCACUAUAUUGUUAGAGAAAGGAGUUUUUUUCCUGGUUUUUUCUACCAAAAAGUGAGAAAUGUCUAUUUCAGGCAUGGUCUUCAAAUUCAAUGUCUUAAUAGUUCCUUACUAUUUAGGGGCUAAUUGGUAACAAUGGUUUAGUUAUUUGCAUUUGUUCCUUUUGUUUGGUUUUUAAUUGAUGUGAAAGGUCAAUUGAAUGCUUUUAUGAAAACUAACUCAUUAAAUAGUUGCUAACUAUUUAGGGUUAUUUUUGUAUUUUUGAAAAUAUUUCUUUUAUAAUUUUCUGAUCAAGUGCAAAUAAUUGUAAACUAUUUGUGGGCCCUUUUAUCACAUGGGCUGUUUUGAAUUAGAUUAUAUGAUUCAUUAUAUAAUUAAUAUAAAUUAAUGGAGUUAUGCCCGUUAGAAGUAAUGUGCUUAGCCGUUAGUAUAUGACUGAUGACUGAUGUUGAAGUUAGUCAACAGCACCUUAAUUGUCUUAUUACUUAGGGUAAACAACAAAAAAGCCCCCUGUGGUUAAGCAAUCAUACAUAAAAGCCCCCUGUGGUUUCAUAUCAUACCAGUCGAUACCCCGUGGUUUGAAUUAACCUGAAAAGUGGACGGAAAUCGGCAAAACAGACGGAGCUGAGUGAAUAGACGAAAAUACCCUUUUGAAGAACGCAGCUUGCAUGUAAAUUUUUUUUUUUUUUUAAGUAAUUUGUUAAAUAGCCUGCCUGAAACCCGCUUGCGGGUUUCCCCCUUAUGUAAAAUGACUAAAAGCUGCGUUUCUGUUCUAUUUAUAUCAAACACAUACUCUCAAACCCUCACCUGAAGGGUGAGAAUGAGAGGGGAGGUUUGCUGGGCAUCCUAGGGCCCUCCGAUGGGCAUGUGCAACUCAACGCAGCUUGCAUGUAAAAAAAAAAUUUUUUUUUAAAGUAAUUUGUUAAAUAGCCUGAAACCCGCUUGCGGGUUUCCCUCUUUUUUUUUAAAAAAAAAAAUAAAUUCUAUGCUAAAAUGACUUAAAACAAAAAUAAAAGACUAAAAGUAAAUAAAAACUAGCAUGAAAAAUAAAAAUAACAGUAAAUAAAAAUACACUAAAAAUUUGGUGUCUACAGUAGUUAAUGAAUAAUCUGGAAACAGAUUGAAUGAAAACUCAGAAGAAACGGAAGCUGGUCUCUUAUUAUUAAAGAGUGAAGGCUAAAAUAGGCAUAUCAGGUGAAAGUUUGUGGUGGAAAUCUGUUUUUCGCAUAUGCACGCGCCUUUGCAGUUCGUUUAAGACACACGCCGAAUAUUUGACGAUUUCCGUCCACUUUUCAGGUUAAUUCAAACCACGGGGUAUCGACUGGUAUGAUAUGAAACCACAAGGGGUUUUUAUGAAUGAUUGCCUAACCACAGGGGGCUUUUUUGUUGUUUACCCUAUUACUUAUUGAACUUCCUUCUUUCUUCAUUUACCCAGAAUUCCCUUCCCCUUCUUUUCUGUCGAAUAGCCUUUUUCUUUCUCUCGAUCGAAUAGGCCGCUAUACUAUAUCGGCCUGCAAAAUUUUCAGUUUCUUACCGAAUCCUUCAACAACUAAUUGUCCUUCAAUUUGAUUUCGACCCAGAAAAUCCUCCACACGCACGUGAAUUUUUGGCCUGCCCCAAAAAUUAGGUCAGUAAAAUUCCUUUUCCCCAAAAUCUACGGCCCUGCAAAAUCUUCGAUUUUCUGUCAAUUCCUCGAGCAAUUAACUGUACUUCCUUUCGAUUGUCUCUAAAAAAGUCGCCCAAUUGACGUCAAUUCUUCUUUUGCCCCAAAAAACAGUUCACUGAUAUCUUUUUUUCCCCAAAAUCAGCUCAUUUUAGGGAUGCCUGUUCUACCGACGUAUGCUAUGAUGCAGCUUUCAAAAUUUACUAUUCCCAGUCCUAUAUAUACUUUUGUUCCUCAGUUUUGCCGGUCUUCAGCAGACGACCGAAGAAAAUCUAGGUAUUUUCUAUUCUGUGUCUUUUUAUUUCAACCUGCAAUUUUUUAGUUUGAUGAAUGUUCUUACCUUCUGUUCAUUUAUUGCCUUCCGUUAAUUAAAGACUGCCAUGUCUUUUAUUUUAUGCAUAAAAGAAUAAUUAUGAUGCUAAUUUUUCGAUUAGCUUACGUUUACUUUUUCCUCUGUUUUUAUAUUAAUUUCAAAUGCUGCCGGACUUUUGCAAACAUUCAGGCGAGCAAAGAAAAUAUAGGUAUGUUUCUGUUUUCUCACCUUCUGAUUUGAACUGCAAUUUUUUCCCAUUGUUGUUGCCUCUGUUUAUUGCUUUCUUUUAAUUAUUAUAAGAAAUGCGAUGUGUUUGAUGUUAUGCUAUGAUGGUUUACUUUUGCCUCUGUUUUUAAUUUCAAAUGUUGCAUGAUGCUGUUAGCUGUUUAUCUAUUCAAUAAUUACAUCAUUUAGUAUCAUUGUACUUCGGGUUAUUAAGGAUGUCAUUUUAUAUAUAUUAGUUAGUUUUAGCUAUUCUAGGAUGCUUUGAUUCUAUCAUUUUGUGUACCUUUGGUUUAGUAUCUUGCUUUAUUUAUAGUAAAAUUAGAUUUUGAUCUUCUGUGUUUCAAAAUGAAGAAAAAAAGAAAAUUUAGUUCAGGUUUUAGAUUGAUAGAUGAGAUGUUUGAUGAUUCCCUUGAUUUAGCAAUGUUGGAAAGAAACAAAAGGAGAAACUUAAAUAUGCUGACUGAGCAUAUGAAGUUUACUCUUGAUUCUUCUGUUUCUCAACCAUAUUCUCCUAUUGUAAUCAACUGUGAGAAUGACAUCCGUGAAAAGCACUCUGUUGAAACAUGUGCUUCACAAAAUCACAUCGAUAGGAAGCCUAUUUAAACCCCCUAAUAUGUAACUGUGGGUUGAACUGAAGUGUGUGUUUUGCUAAGACAUGAAUGUUUGAGUUUAUGUAAUCUAUGGUUGUGAUUUGCAUAUUCAUUAUUUACCUCUUCAUUUUUCAGUUGGUCAUAUCAUAUAUAUACAUAUAUGGUCCUGAUUGCCCAGGUGUGAUUAAGUUGUUUGAUCAUAUCAGUGGGUAGGCCGUGCAAUGCACGGCCAGAAUCAUGCUAGUUGACAGGCUAAUUGUCUAACAUCCAAUGCCCCUCCCUCAGACCGAGAAAAGUAAAGCCAAUUUUCUAUUUGGGAAAACUUGACGUUCGCUAACAUCUUUUGUCUACCAGUAAACCUAGUCAAAAAUUGAAAAUGAGUAUCAUAAUUACAAGAUUCAAAAUCCUAAGCAACUACCGUAGUAGUAACAAUGGAGCAAUUGAUAGUUGCAAGAAUAAGCUAGCAACAUAAAUUUCAAGCCAUUAGACUUUACAAGCAUCAAAUAGUUUCUUUUGUAAUGGGAGAGAUGUGUUGGAUGGUACAGGAGGAGGGAGUGUAAAUGAAAGAUUUCGAGUUCGAACUCCUACUUACACUUAUAGGUAGCAAAGAAAUCCAUUUAACUAAAUUUACCCAUACCCGCUCAUGAAUAACUGGAUACGAGUAUCUUAAGCUUUUAUAUAUAGGUAUAAAUUAGUUACCCAAUAAUAUCCACUUAAUAAAUGGAUAUAAUUAGGUAACUCACCAAACCCAAUUAACCCAUUUAAAAUUAUCUUUCCCAAGCCUCCACUCUUCCCUAACCCAUUUAGAAGAAAUUUGAGACCUGCGUUUGAUUAUAGAACUCAUUGUUGGAGACUUUCAUGCAUUAAUAUUGCUAAAACAUUGUAUAUAGUAGAAUGUUUUAUUUUUCAGCCUUAACAAAUAUUUGAUGGAUUUUUGACGCAUAUAGAUGUCCUACUUAAUUUUUUUUUCAUAUUCUUCAUUUUGUCAUGAUGUUAACUAUUUUUGUUUAAUUUAUUAUUAUUAUUAUUUGUUGCUUUAUUUUAUCAUUUUAUUUUCUUGUAAUUUGUUAACUAGCUCACUUUUUAGCAUUACCAAUGUAUGAUAAGUUUUAGCCUCCCUUCCUAUCUUUUCAAAAUGAAAUUUUAAAUUCACACAUGAAAAAAAUGCCAAGGAUUCAAAGUUUUUGGAUGAAGUUUAUAUGUUAAUUUUCAUAGUACUUAGUUCAAAAUUUUAUAUUCUUAUUGUUCAAUUAUUAAAUAGUAUGUAAUUUUACAAUAUAGGGCACGGAUGUGAAAAAAUUGGUAAUUAGGCUUAUUGAAUAUUAUAAGUGAAUAUUUAAAACUGAUGAUGGAUGCAAAUGGUGGUAUAAAUUGAUAAUUUAGUUUGCAAAAUUGAAUGUCAUUGAGUUUACAAAAAGUUAAAAUAAAUUGGUUACAAAUGAGUAAUUGGGUUACCCAACUCAUUUUUUGACUUAUCCAUUUAUACCCAUCUAAUAAAAUAGGUAUAAAUGGAUUGACUCACUUAUACCUAUUACUCAUUUCAACCCGUCCAAAUCACCCAUUUUGAUACUUCUACUUACACUUAAAAAAAGAAAAAGAUUCUUAUGCGAAACUGUAGACUUCAUCUAUAGCAAUACUCUAUUUUUAUUGGGAGAAAGAGAUUCAACUUUUGUAUUCAAACCAAAAUGUGUAUCAUGCAUUUCUCUAGUUUAACUGAAAUUUUCUUUUCUCUUUCCCUUAAAGAGAUCUCUACCCAAAAUUUUCUAGUUCACCUAAGAUGGUAUGGGAGUUGGUAAGUAUUCCCAAAAAAAAAAGAAAAAAAAAUAUAUAUAUAUAUAUAUAUAUAGACGCAUUUAGAAGUCUUUUAACGUCGCUUUCUUUGGAAGAUGACUUGUUAAUAAUUUUAUUUUGGAUCUAUCUAAAGAAAGCAUAAUUUCCUGGCUUACGGCAUAUGAUUGACUAAGCCCUGAAUUCGCAAUUUUCUAACGAAUUUAAAGAACUAUUUCACACUCAUUUUCACACCACGUAUGCAUGUGAUCAAUGGAAUUUAAAGCAUGUACUGGCUGUUGAUCAAAUUGAAGCUUUCUAAGGGAUGACCACAAUUAUUUUCGCUUACUACAUUCUUGACAAUCUUUGAGAUGCCAAUAUACCAAUCACAUGUGCAAUCAUCCAGAACAAAGCAGAACUUUUGAUUAGGAGCCCGUUCAUAAACAACAAUGCUAAAGCAUUUUGUAGAUAACAAAAAGAACCCUCUACAUAAGAAAAUCUUAAAAAAGAGAAGACAAAUGUACAUAUAGCAGGUUGAGGCUCUGAAGGUUCGAGGUUUUGAAUUUUAAUCUUCCGUUCUUUUUUAGCUCCUUAAAUCCCAUCAUUAAUUCCUUUGCUAGAAAAAAUUUAAAAAUAAAAAAAAGUACAUAUAGCACAAAGUUGAGAGUAUCAAUCGAGGAGAUUUUGUGUAUUGAUGAUUCUUCUUGCACUGUAAAUUUCCAAGUCAAAGCAAAAACUUCCCAUUUACAAAUUACAAGUUGAGAUGGUAUGGUAGUCCACCUUUUCAACUACAAGUAUGCCAAUUCUCCACUAAGAGAAACAAAUGAGUAAACAAGUUGGUUUUUGUCAUGGUUAACCAUUUUAGUCAAUCAAAUACGUACUAACACUACUAGUCGCUAUUCAACAACAUUCAAUUUCAAUCAAUAAGGCAUGAUAUGUGUGGUCCUAGUUUCAUAACUAGCCAAACACGACUUGGAAUUCUUCACCCUCAAAACCUUGACCAAGUCACCACACAUUUCCCUCACGCCGGCGCUACAAUCACUCUGCAUCACCAACAACACUUUGGUCACGCCGUUGACUUUCAACACGGCCUCCUGAGCCGUCCGAUCUCGAGCCAA
rnacentral:lncRNA from 1 species